UGAAUUUUAAUGUUUUAGCAUAUAAAUCUUUGAAAUUUAAAGAAAUUUAUUAAUUAAAUUCAC
rnacentral:tRNA from 1 species